rnacentral:rRNA from 1 species
UACGUAGGGUGCAAGCGUUGUCCGGAAUUAUUGGGCGUAAAGAGCUCGUAGGCGGUCUGUCGCGUCGGCUGUGAAAACUCGGGGCUCAACUCCGAGCUUGCAGUCGAUACGGGCAGGCUAGAGUUCGGCAGGGGAGACUGGAAUUCCUGGUGUAGCGGUGAAAUGCGCAGAUAUCAGGAGGAACACCGGUGGUGUAGACGGCUUUCUGGACCGUAACUGACGCUGAGACACGAAAGCGUGGGUAGCAAACAGG